rnacentral:tRNA from 1 species
GGAAGGUAGCCGGAUACGGCUCGCCGGGCCGGUUUGCUAAACCGUGCGACUCCACAAGGGUCAUGUGGGUUCAAAUCCCAUGCCUUCCGC